ACAAGUUGGUAUCAGAGCCCUGGUUUAAGAGAUUCAAGUAUAGUGGGGACUAUACUUGGACUUAAACCGUGUGUUCUUACUCGGGAAGGCGUGUUCGGUUCGAGGCUUGAUCGCAAAAUCCGGUAAGUAUAAUUUAUUAAUGGUUUAGCAUGGAUACUCCCAUCUGAAGAUGGCGAGAGUAUAACAAGUAACGGGCAUGACAGAGGAACGACCCAAAGUACGACAAGUGGAGCAUACUCACCAAGGACCUAAAUCGCGCAAUAGUCGCGAACAAGGUUAACGGCAUGGAAAGCCCGUUAGGGCAAGCAUUACCAGGUGCACAUUAUAAAUUAAUCGCAUUAAGUAGAAAUAAGUGUUAUUCACAGGAUGAAUAACAAAACAAUAACGAAACUAGUCUAUAUGGAAACUUGGACGGAAGUAACUAUCCAACUGUAUAUUCUCAAUACAGAUAUUAUCGAGAAGUGUAACCAUCACACUAACAAAUAUGAUUACAUAAUAGUUUGAUAAAAGAGAAAACAAUAUAUAUGUUCAAGUGUAAAACUAGUAAAACUAAUGAUUGUCGUUUUGCAAUUAAAUAAAGUUUUACUAAAUGAAACCAGAGAUACGAAAUAAAUAGAGGCAUUACUUACAUAGGGCGUAAUGUGAAAGCUAUAAAAAGGUCAUGUGUGUCAUGUGUUGACCGCUUACUCUGGCCAAGUAAGUAGUGGCAUAUGAUACCAUGAACUUCUUGUAGUGGACACAUUUACGUCCGAUGUAGUAAGGACGGGGUGAAUGGGACUAACUUAAAUGGUACCCAAAUGAGUCAAAAAGUAGGAUGUUUGGUAAAAACGUAAGCGCAAGCCCGAUGACGGAAGCGUACUACGUUAGAAUAAUGAGCCCGAGAGAAGGGACAAAGAUCAAAGUAAAUAAAAAUACAGACCGACUAAUGAGAAUGGGUUAAGCGUAGAGAUAAAAUUUGGACUAUCAUAAGUAAUGAAAUUCACAUUAACAUGUC
rnacentral:lncRNA from 1 species